GAUGAACGCUAGCGAUAGGCUUAACACAUGCAAGUCGAGGGGCAUCACGAAUUAGCAAAUAGUUUGGUGGCGACCGGGCGCACGGGUGCGUAACACGUAUACAACCUAGCCUUCAAUUGGGGGAUAAACUGGAGAAAUUCGGACUAAUACCCCAUAGUAAACAGAAGAGGCAUCUUUUUUGUUUUAAAGAUUUAUUGAUUGGAGAUGGGUAUGCGUAGGAUUAGUCUAGUUUGGUAAGGUAACGGCUUCCAAGGCGACGAUCCUUAGGGGUUCUGAGAGGAAGUCCCCCACACUGGUUACUGAGACAACGGGACCAAGACUCCUGCCGGGGGAGGGCCAGCAAGUGAGGGAAUAUUGUGUCAAAAUGGUCCGAGAAGAACUGAGACCCAAGCCCAAAGUGUCCGUGGAAUGGGAAAGGACCGGCAUCUAUUG
rnacentral:rRNA from 1 species